rnacentral:rRNA from 1 species
UGGGGAAUAUUGCGCAAUGGGGGGAACCCUGACGCAGCCAUGCCGCGUGAAUGAAGAAGGCCUUAGGGUUGUAAAGUUCUUUCGGUAUUGAGGAAGGUUGAUGUGUUAAUAGCACAUCAAAUUGACGUUAAAUACAGAAGAAGCACCGGCUAACUCCGUGCCAGCAGCCGCGGUAAUACGGAGGGUGCGAGCGUUAAUCGGAAUAACUGGGCGUAAAGGGCACGCAGGCGGUUAUUUAAGUGAGGUGUGAAAGCCCCGGGCUUAACCUGGGAAUUGCAUUUCAGACUGGGUAACUAGAGUACUUUAGGGAGGGGUAGAAUUCCACGUGUAGCGGUGAAAUGCGUAGAGAUGUGGAGGAAUACCGAAGGCGAAGCNAGCCCCUUGGGAAUGUACUGACGCUCAUGUGCGAAAGCGUGGGGAGCAAACAGGAUUAGAUACCCUGGUAGUCCACGCUGUAAACGCUGUCGAUUUGGGGGUUGGGGUUUAACUCUGGCGCCCGUAGCUAACGUGAUAAAUCGACCGCCUGGGGAGUACGGCCGCAAGGUUA